rnacentral:rRNA from 1 species
GGGGAAUAUUGGACAAUGGGGGCAACCCUGAUCCAGCAAUGCCGCGUGUGUGAAGAAGGUCUUCGGAUUGUAAAGCACUUUCGACGGGGACGAUGAUGACGGUACCCGUAGAAGAAGCCCCGGCUAACUUCGUGCCAGCAGCCGCGGUAAUACGAAGGGGGCUAGCGUUGCUCGGAAUGACUGGGCGUAAAGGGCGUGUAGGCGGUUUACACAGUCAGAUGUGAAAUCCCCGGGCUUAACCUGGGAGCUGCAUUUGAUACGUGUAGACUAGAGUGUGAGAGAGGGUUGUGGAAUUCCCAGUGUAGAGGUGAAAUUCGUAGAUAUUGGGAAGAACACCGGUGGCGAAGGCGGCAACCUGGCUCAUUACUGACGCUGAGGCGCGAAAGCGUGGGGAGCAAAC